ensembl:rRNA 5S_rRNA 5S ribosomal RNA
CUACGGCCAUACCGUGCUGAAUGUUCCCAAUCUCAUCUGAUCUCGGAAGCUAAGCGGGGUUGGGCCUGGUUAGGAUGCACUGACUGAGCAAGACAUGCCCUUUGAGGCUUCUCUGGUGGCUCAGUGGU